rnacentral:lncRNA from 1 species
GUCACAGGCCUCAAAGCAAACCUGGCAAGUGUCCCUCCCACAGUGGAGCCCAGCGUGGCCCAGGCGUGCCCCGACCCCUCCACUGUUGCCCCCCAGCAGCACAUACUCCCCAGCUCCUGCCAGGCCAGCUUCCCCUGGAGAAGGCAGGUGGCUGAGCUCUUCCAUGUGUUGCAGCCUAGUCUCCCCUAGGAUGGCCCUGCACCUGGGGACAGGGCACCAGAGAGUGGGGCCUGCACACAGGAAUGAGGCUUCUGGGGCCACACACGAGGUUGAGGCCCUUGGGAGCCCAGUUGCACAGGUGGAUGGGGUACCUGGGGGUGGGGCUCGUAUUUCAGGAUGGG